rnacentral:rRNA from 1 species
UACGAAGGGGGCUAGCGUUGUUCGGAAUUAUUGGGCGUAAAGAGCUCGUAGGCGGUUUGUCGCGUCGGCUGUGAAAACCUGAGGCUCAACCUCGGGCCUGCAGUCGAUACGGGCAAACUAGAGUUCGGUAGGGGAGACUGGAAUUCCUGGUGUAGCGGUGGAAUGCGCAGAUAUCAGGAGGAACACCAAUGGCGAAGGCAGGUCUCUGGGCCGAAACUGACGCUGAGGAGCGAAAGCGUGGGGAGCGAACAGG